CAGGAAUAGUUCUCUCUCUCAAGCCGGUAGUCAUUGUUACAAUUAAGGAUGGAGCUCUUAGCUUUCAUUUCCUGGUGUGUUGUGCAGCUUCUCUCGUGGCAGCAAAAUGGCCACAGAGGUUUGGUUCCAGGCCUUUCGUGUGUUUACACCUUACAGUCCAGCAGAAGAAAGAGCUCCUCUUCUGAAAACCUUGAAAGCUCUUGAAUCUUAUGUCUAAUCCCCCAACAAAUCACUAUGAUGGCAUGCCAUACCACACUGAA